rnacentral:rRNA from 1 species
AUGCGGGGACGUUUGAUCAAUUUGUCGCUGGAGAUGGGUGAUACCACACACUGCACUGCGACAACUUGGCUGACACAUCAUCCUGUCCCCCGAUCAGAUCAGAUCAGAUCAGAUCUGCUGAACAAAAAGACAGAUCCGUGCUGUUUUCGUAUUGAGUUCCUCCCACGAUUUAAAAAAGAAGAAAAAUCCCGUAAACGUGCUUGUUGGGUCUGGAUUGGCAAUGCGUACGUGGAGCCUAAGAAAAAUGGACUACUUGCACUUUGGCAUACGUUUCUUUCCUGCCUACCAUGUGGCAUGUGCCGCAUCGUGCCGUUGUUUGCUUGUUGUUUGGCCUGCUGCGCCACCAGAAAAACCACACUUGUUGGUCUCUGUAAAUUGUCAGAGAGCAACAACGUGAACGUAUCAAACUAUGAAAAUACAUCGAGUCUCCAUGCAAUGUCUCUGUAA